rnacentral:rRNA from 1 species
CCUACGGGAGGCAGCAGUGGGGGAUAUUGCACAAUGGGGGGAACCCUGAUGCAGCGACGCCGCGUGGGUGAAGAAGCGCCUCGGCGCGUAAAGCCCUGUCAGCAGGGAAGAAAAUGACGGUACCUGAAGAAGAAGCCCCGGCUAACUACGUGCCAGCAGCCGCGGUAAUACGUAGGGGGCAAGCGUUAUCCGGAUUUACUGGGUGUAAAGGGGGCGCAGACGGCGAUGCAAGCCAGGAGUGAAAGCCCGGGGCCCAACCCCGGGACUGCUCUUGGAACUGCGUGGCUGGAGUGCAGGAGGGGCAGGCGGAAUUCCUGGUGUAGCGGUGGAAUGCGUAGAUAUCAGGAGGAACACCGGUGGCGAAGGCGGCCUGCUGGACUGCAACUGACGUUGAGGCCCGAAAGCGUGGGGAGCAAACAGGAUUAGAUACCCCAGUAGUC